GACGAACGCUGGCGGCGUGCUUAACACAUGCAAGUCGAACGGAAGGGCCCUGCUUUUGUGGGGUGCUCGAGUGGCGAACGGGUGAGUAACACGUGAGUAACCUGCCCUUGACUUUGGGAUAACUUCAGGAAACUGGGGCUAAUACCGGAUAGGAGCUCCUGCUGCAUGGUGGGGGUUGGAAAGUUUCGGCGGUUGGGGAUGGACUCGCGGCUUAUCAGCUUGUUGGUGGGGUAGUGGCUUACCAAGGCGUUGACGGGUAGCCGGCCUGAGAGGGUGACCGGCCACAUUGGGACUGAGAUACGGCCCAGACUCCUACGGGAGGCAGCAGUGGGGAAUAUUGCACAAUGGGCGGAAGCCUGAUGCAGCAACGCCGCGUGCGGGAUGACGGCCUUCGGGUUGUAAACCGCUUUCGCCUGUGACGAAGCGUGAGUGACGGUAAUGGGUAAAGAAGCACCGGCUAACUACGUG
rnacentral:rRNA from 1 species